UACGUAGGGGGCAAGCGUUGUCCGGAAUCAUUGGGCGUAAAGCGCGUGUAGGCGGCUCGACUAGUCCGCUGUGAAAGUCCAGGGCUCAACCCUGGGAUGCCGGUGGAUACUGUCGAGCUUGAGUCCGGAAGAGGCGAGUGGAAUUCCUGGUGUAGCGGUGAAAUGCGCAGAUAUCAGGAGGAACACCAAUGGCGAAGGCAGCUCGCUGGGACGUGACUGACGCUGAGACGCGAAAGCGUGGGGAGCAAACAGG
rnacentral:rRNA from 1 species